GAUGAACGCUGGCGGCGUGCCUAAUACAUGCAAGUCGAACGAAACUUCUUUAUCACCGAGUGCUUGCACUCACCGAUAAAGAGUUGAGUGGCGAACGGGUGAGUAACACGUGGGCAACCUGCCCAAAAGAGGGGGAUAACACUUGGAAACAGGUGCUAAUACCGCAUAACCAUAGUUACCGCAUGGUAACUAUGUAAAAGGUGGCUAUACUACCGCUUUUGGAUGGGCCCGCGGCGCAUUAGCUAGUUGGUAGGGUAAAGGCUUACCAAGGCAAUGAUGCGUAGCCGAAUUGAGAGGUUGAUCGGCCACAUUGGGACUGAGACACGGCCCAAACUCCUACGGGAGUCAGCAGUAGGGAAUCUUCCACAAUGGGCGAAAGCCUGAUGGAGCAACGCCGCGUGGGUGAAGAAGGUCUUCGGAUCGUAAAACCCUGUUGUUAGAGAAGAAAGUGCGUGAGAGUAACUGUUCACGUUUCGACGGUAUCUAACCAGAAAGCCACUGCUAACUACGUG
rnacentral:rRNA from 1 species